CGUUCCUUCUGAAUAAGCUCUUGUGAGUCACAAGAUCCUCUGAUGAGCAAAUAAUAAGAGGGGAGAAAAGGGGCAGCAGAAUGAGGAACAGAGAGAAGGAUCUUGAUUGCUCUCUAAAUGCAUAUUAAAUGCUAUGUGCUCAAAUUCAAUCUCAAUUAACCAGAAUUCAAUUAUCUAGAAAUAUUAUUCAAAUAAACUAAAAUGACUUUUUUAUUCACUCUAGCCCCUGGACAAAGAGAAGAUGAAGCAAGCAAAAUAAAACCAGGGGAAUGUGAAGAAAAUCAGACAAUUUCAUUUGAACCACAAUGAAAUAUAAUCCAUAUUUUUUUAAGAUUGUGAACCAUUGUGUGUAUUCAAAAACACUUGGAUCUCAGUGCUAGAAGGUAAGGGAAAGGAUAAGGAAAAUACUCUUUCACUGUGUUCAAGAGUUUGGUCCAUAUAUUCCACAGACAUAUUUUCUUCCAGUUAUCCUUAAAGUCCUUGGGAAUUUUCAUAGCAAAAGAUUCUCUAAGCACUCCGAC
rnacentral:lncRNA from 1 species